UACGUAGGUGGCAAGCGUUAUCCGGAAUUAUUGGGCGUAAAGCGCGCGUAGGCGGUUUUUUAAGUCUGAUGUGAAAGCCCACGGCUCAACCGUGGAGGGUCAUUGGAAACUGGAAAACUUGAGUGCAGAAGAGGAAAGUGGAAUUCCAUGUGUAGCGGUGAAAUGCGCAGAGAUAUGGAGGAACACCAGUGGCGAAGGCGACUUUCUGGUCUGUAACUGACGCUGAUGUGCGAAAGCUGGGGAUCAAACAGG
rnacentral:rRNA from 1 species